CCUGACUGCUAUCGGAUUGGUACUAAGCCAUGUGAGUCAUUGUAGCAAUACAAGGCAGACGGCUCAGUAACACGUAGUCAAUCUACCCUAUGGACGGGGAUAACCUCGGGAAACUGAGGAUAAACCCCGAUAGAUCAUAGUGCCUGGAAUGGCUUAUGGUCCAAAUGAUUCGUCGCCGUAGGAUGGGACUGCGGCCUAUCAGCUUGUUGGUGAGGUAAUGGCCCACCAAGGCUAUUACAGGUACGGGCUCUGAGAGGAGAAGCCCGGAGAUGGGUACUGAGACACGGACCCAGGCCCUAUGGGGCGCAGCAGGCGAGAAACCUUUGCAAUGUGCGCAAGCACGACAAGGUUAAUCCGAGUGUUUCCUGCUAAAGGAAUCUUUUGUUAGUUCUAAAACCACUGAUGAAUAAGGGGUGGGCAAGUUCUGGUGUCAGCCGCCGCGGUAAAACCAGCACCUCAAGUGGUCAGGAUGAUUAUUGGGCCUAAAGCAUCCGUAGCCUGUUCUGUAAGUUUCCGGUUAAAUCCAUUAGCUCAACUAAUGGGCCGCCGAAAAUACUGCAGAACUAGGGAGUGGGAGAGGUAGACGGUACUCGGUAGGAAGGGGUAAAAUCCUUUGAUCUAUUGAUGACCACCUGUGGCGAAGGCGGUCUACCAGAACACGUUCGACGGUGAGGGAUGAAAGCUGGGGGAGCAAACCGGAUUAGAUACCCGGGUAGUCCCAGCUGUAAACGAUGCAGACUCGGUGAUGCGCUGGCUUGUGGCCAGUGCAGUGCCGCAGGGAAGCCGUUAAGUUUGCCGCCUGGGAAGUACGUACGCAAGUAUGAAACUUAAAGGAAUUGGCGGGGGAGCACCACAAGGGGUGAAGCCUGCGGUU
rnacentral:rRNA from 1 species